AUCUGACCUCAAAUCAGGUAGGACUACCCGCUGAACUUAAGCAUAUCAAUAAGCGGAGGAAAAGAAACUAACAAGGAUUCCCCUAGUAACUGCGAGUGAAGCGGGAAAAGCUCAAAUUUAAAAUCUGGUAGUCUUUGGCUGCCCGAGUUGUAAUCUAGAGAAGCGUUAUCCGUGCUGGACCGUGUAUAAGUCUCCUGGAAUGGAGCGUCAUAGAGGGUGAGAAUCCCGUCUUUGACACGGACUACCAGGGCUUUGUGAUGCGCUCUCGAAGAGUCGAGUUGUUUGGGAAUGCAGCUCUAAAUGGGUGGUAAAUUCCAUCUAAAGCUAAAUAUUGGCGAGAGACCGAUAGCGAACAAGUACCGUGAGGGAAAGAUGAAAAGAACUUUGGAAAGAGAGUUAAACAGUACGUGAAAUUGUUGAAAGGGAAACGCUUGAAGUCAGUCGCGUUGGCUUGGAAUCAGCCUUGCUUUUGCUUGGUGUACUUCCUUGUUAACGGGUCAGCAUCAAUUUUGAUCGGUGGAAAAAGGCCAGUUGAAUGUGGCAUCUUCGGAUGUGUUAUAGCUUCUGGUCGUAUACAUCGGUUGGGAUUGAGGAACUCAGCGCCGUAAGGUCGGAGGAUGCUGGCAUAAUGGCUUUAAUCGACCCGUCUUGAAACACGGACCAAGGAGUCUAACAUGCCUGCGAGUGUUUGGGUGGAAAACCCGAGCGCGUAAUGAAAGUGAAAGUUGAGAUCCCUGUCGUGGGGAGCAUCGACGCCCGGACCAGACCUUCUGUGACGGAUCCGCGGUAGAGCAUGUAUGUUGGGACCCGAAAGAUGGUGAACUAUGCCUGAAUAGGGUGAAGCCAGAGGAAACUCUGGUGGAGGCUCGUAGCGAUUCUGACGUGCAAUCGAUCGUCAAAUUUGGGUAUAGGGGCGAAAGACUAAUCGAACCAUCUAGUAGCUGGUUCCUGCCGAAU
rnacentral:rRNA from 1 species